UAAAAAACAUCAGGCUGGUAA
ensembl:piRNA 21ur-4014 ncRNA